GAUGAACGCUGGCGGCGUGCCUAAUACAUGCAAGUCGAGCGAACGGAUGAGAAGCUUGCUCCUCUGAUGUUAGCGGCGGACGGGUGAGUAACACGUGGAUAACCUACCUAUAAGACUGGGAUAACUUCGGGAAACCGGAGCUAAUACCGGAUGAUAUUUUGAACCGCAUGGUUCAAUAGUGAAAGACGGUUUUGCUGUCACUUAUAGAUGGAUCCGCGCUGCAUUAGCUAGUUGGUAAGGUAACGGCUUACCAAGGCAACGAUGCAUAGCCGACCUGAGAGGGUGAUCGGCCACACUGGAACUGAGACACGGUCCAGACUCCUACGGGAGGCAGCAGUAGGGAAUCUUCCGCAAUGGGCGAAAGCCUGACGGAGCAACGCCGCGUGAGUGAUGAAGGUCUUCGGAUCGUAAAACUCUGUUAUUAGGGAAGAACAAAUGUGUAAGUAACUGUGCACAUCUUGACGGUACCUAAUCAGAAAGCCACGGCUAACUACGUG
rnacentral:rRNA from 1 species